rnacentral:rRNA from 1 species
GACGAACGCUGGCGGCGUGCCUAAUACAUGCAAGUAGAACGCUGAAGGAGGAGCUUGCUUCUCCGGAUGAGUUGCGAACGGGUGAGUAACGCGUAGGUAACCUGCCUGGUAGCGGGGGAUAACUAUUGGAAGCGAUAGCUAAUACCGCAUAAGAGUAGAUGUUGCAUGACAUUUGCUUAAAAGGUGCAAUUGCAUCACUACCAGAUGGACCUGCGUUGUAUUAGCUAGUUGGUGGGGUAACGGCUUACCAAGGCGACGAUACAUAGCCGACCUGAGAGGGUGAUCGGCCACACUGGGACUGAGACACGGCCCAGACUCCUACGGGAGGCAGCAGUAGGGAAUCUUCGGCAAUGGACGGAAGUCUGACCGAGCAACGCCGCGUGAGGGAAGAAGGUUUUCGGAUCGUAAAGCUCUGUUGUAAGAGAAGAACGAGUGUGAGAGUGGAAAGUUCACACUGUGACGGUAUCUUACCAGAAAGGGACGGCUAACUACGUG